AUGAGAUCGUUCUUUUGGGAUGGAAAGGAUAAGGUGAAUGGUGGUCAAUGUCUAGUUGCUUGGGACACAAUCUGCCGACCCAAAUGCUAUGGAGGCUUAGGCAUCAAGAACUUGAACUGGCAAGCAUUGGCACUGAGAGUCCGGUGGGAGUGGCUAAAGCGCAUCGAGCCAAACAGUCCUUGGCAGGGAUUGCAUAUGAUCGAGGAUCAAGACACGCGGGAGCUCUUUGACAGCCUUGUACAUAUCGAUGUUGGUGUGGGAGACGGGCUCCUUUUUUGGCGAGAUCGGUGGAUACAUGGAUUUAUAGUCACGGAUAUCGCCCCUCUGCUGCAAGACACGAUCCAUGCGCGGGUGGCCAACAGAUGGACGGUGCAACAAGCACUGAUCAAUGAUAGAUUGAGGGAGGACUGCCAGGUCGCCUCUUUCAUGGCCCAAAUGCAGCUUGUUCACCUUUGCCAUGCGAUCACCAUAGUGGACAUAAACCAGGAGCAACAUGACGAGUUUACUUGGACGUGCACCCCGUCUGGACAGUACUCUGCUAGCGGGAUAUAUGCCAGUUUGUGCUCUGGACUACCGAGGUCGCCUAUGGGCGCGCGUGUGUGGAGAAGCUGGGGCGCCGCUCAAGUGCAAGAUCUUCGCUUGGCUGGCGAUGCAGUAUAG
rnacentral:rRNA from 1 species